rnacentral:rRNA from 1 species
GACGAACGCUGGCGGCGUGCUUAACACAUGCAAGUCGAACGGAAAGGCCCUGCUUUUGUGGGGUGCUCGAGUGGCGAACGGGUGAGUAACACGUGAGUAACCUGCCCUUGACUUUGGGAUAACUUCAGGAAACUGGGGCUAAUACCGGAUAGGAGCUCCUGCUGCAUGGUGGGGGUUGGAAAGUUUCGGCGGUUGGGGAUGGACUCGCGGCUUAUCAGCUUGUUGGUGGGGUAGUGGCUUACCAAGGCUUUGACGGGUAGCCGGCCUGAGAGGGUGACCGGCCACAUUGGGACUGAGAUACGGCCCAGACUCCUACGGGAGGCAGCAGUGGGGAAUAUUGCACAAUGGGCGCAAGCCUGAUGCAGCAACGCCGUGUGCGGGAUGACGGCCUUCGGGUUGUAAACCGCUUUCGCCUGUGACGAAGCGUGAGUGACGGUAAUGGGUAAAGAAGCACCGGCUAACUACGUG